GAUGAACGCUAGCGGCAGGCCUAACACAUGCAAGUCGAGGGAGGAGCCUUCGGGCUUCGACCGGCGUACGGGUGCGUAACGCGUAUACAAUCUGCCUUUCACAUAGGGAUAGCCCGAAGAAAUUUGGAUUAAUACCUAAUGGUAUAUAGAUGUGGCAUCACCUUUAUAUUAAAGCUGAGGCGGUGAAAGAUGAGUAUGCGUUCUAUUAGCUAGUUGGAGAGGUAACGGCUCCCCAAGGCGACGAUAGAUAGGGGUUCUGAGAGGGAUAUCCCCCACACUGGUACUGAGAUACGGACCAGACUCCUACGGGAGGCAGCAGUGAGGAAUAUUGGACAAUGGUCGGAAGACUGAUCCAGCCAUGCCGCGUCAGGAAGACGGCCUUAUGGGUUGUAAACUGCUUUUGCAGGGGAAGAAUAAGGACUACGCGUAGUUUGAUGACGGUACUCUGCGAAUAAGCAUCGGCUAACUCCGUG
rnacentral:rRNA from 1 species